rnacentral:rRNA from 1 species
GAGUUUGAUCUUGGCUCAGAACGAACGCUGGCGGCAGGCUUAACACAUGCAAGUCGAGCGCCCCUCACGGGGAGGCGGCAGACGGGUGAGUAACGCGUGGGAACGUACCCUUUUCUACGGAAUAACCCAGGGAAACUUGGACUAAUACCGUAUGUGCCCUUCGGGGAAAGGAUUUAUCGAAAGGAUCGGCCCGCGUUGGAUUAGCUAGUUGGUGGGGUAAAGGACCUACCAAGGCGACGAUCCAUAGCUGGUCUGAGAGGAUGAUCAGCCACAUUGGG